GACGAACGCUGGCGGCGUGCCUAAUACAUGCAAGUCGAACGCAGUGGGGACGGGUGAGUAACACGUGGGUAACCUCCCAUCAGAGGGGAUAACACUUGGAAACAGGUGCUAAACCGAUACUGAUGGAUGGACCCGCGGUGCAUUAGCUAGUUGGUGAGGUAACGGCUCACCAAGGCCACGAUGCAUAGCCGACCUGAGAGGGUGAUCGGCCACACUGGGACUGAGACACGGCCCAGACUCCUACGGGAGGCAGCAGUAGGGAAUCUUCGGCAAUGGGGGGAACCCUGACCGAGCAACGCCGCGUGAGUGAAGAAGGUUUUCGGAUCGUAAAGCUCUGUUGUUAAGGAAGCGGUACUUAACCAGAAAGGGACGGCUAACUACGUGCCAGCAGCCGCGGUAAUUC
rnacentral:rRNA from 1 species